rnacentral:tRNA from 1 species
UGGCGUAGUGCGCAAAGCCUCGGCCUGCUGAGCCGCAGGUCCCGGGUUCGAUUCCCGG